rnacentral:rRNA from 1 species
CAGCUAGUUGGUGGGGUAAUGGCUCACCAAGGCGACGAUCCGUAACUGGUCUGAGAGGAUGAUCAGUCACACUGGAACUGAGACACGGUCCAGACUCCUACGGGAGGCAGCAGUGGGGAAUAUUGGACAAUGGGCGAAAGCCUGAUCCAGCCAUGCCGCGUGUGUGAAGAAGGUCUUCGGAUUGUAAAGCACUUUAAGUUGGGAGGAAGGGCCAUUACCUAAUACGUGAUGGUUUUGACGUUACCGACAGAAUAAGCACCGGCUAACUCUGUGCCAGCAGCUGCGGUAAUACAGAGGGUGCAAGCGUUAAUCGGAAUUACUGGGCGUAAAGCGCGCGUAGGUGGUUCGUUAAGUUGGAUGUGAAAUCCCCGGGCUCAACCUGGGAACUGCAUUCAAAACUGUCGAGCUAGAGUAUGGUAGAGGGUGGUGGAAUUUCCUGUGUAGCGGUGAAAUGCGCAGAUAUAGGAAGGAACACCAGUGGCAAAGGCGACC